rnacentral:lncRNA from 1 species
CUUUUAAUCUUGCCGGUGAAAAGGAAAGGAGUAAACAAUAACCAAUGAUCUUGGAGAUGUUUUGCCGUAAGAUCAGUUUCGCCAUUUCUUGUUUCCCUAACGUUGGACAGUCUUUAACGUGCUAGUGCUGGUGUGGUACGGCCUGUUCUGCACCCAAGUAAACAGCAUGGCAUUAUCCUUCCUGCUACCUCCGCGAGGCAGGACGGAUCCCCUGUAGCAGCGUCACUCAGGCUCCACUCUGUGCACCAGGCUCUAAUUUAUAUCCCUUCACUUCUCAAUAUGAAGUUUACUUAACGACGAUCCUCAAUAAUCUACUCCAUUUUUUUUUCUUCAAUAUGUCCCCUCCAUCGGCUCUUCUGUAUAACAGCUCUUAAAAAGCAACACCAUCUAUUUCAACGCGGUAUGAUCCCACAUAUUGACAUACAUCCAUUAAUAUUGCUAAUGGAUAGGUACGGUAUCACCCAAGUAUUACUUCUAAGAGACUACAAUGCAGUUUUCACAAGUACAUUUGGUACUGUACAGUAGUUGUACCAAACUUCAUGGCAAUGGUGCAAAAAUGGAAAACACAAAAGUAGCAAAAGAUGAAAAGAGAGCUGCAGACUCCUUAGCCACACACAGCCUUAUUUAGUAGGAUCACCUCAUCUUCAUUGUUGUUAUUUUGACUUUAAUAUCACCUUUCUCUAAUUAACUUUUAGUCCAGAAAAAAAAGGAAUACAUCCCUAACUACCAUUAUUACCAACUCUCCUUGUGCUUCUGUACCAGUCGUCCAUGAUUUUUUAUGUGAUUAAAUGUAUUAUUCUUUUGUACAUUCUCACCAACGGAUCCACCUAACAAGGCUAGCUAGAUAGUACAAGCUGCAUUUGCAAUGAUUGGUUUAGAUAGAUGAUGUUGGGUCGAGUGGAGUGACUACCAAACGGGUUUAGCUGAGACCUCUUUUAGUGUCAUUUGAUUCAGUUAUUCAUGGAGUCAAAUUUGCUUAGAUUUUAAAGUGUAGUCAAUAUCAGAAAACUGAUUUAGUGAUUCGGAGGAUCUGCUUGCAAAUUAUUCCAUGUUCGCUAAGAGGUAGAGAUUCCUGUAAUAUUUGCUGGUAUUUCUUCAUCAUUAUCAUCUUAUCGCCAUCAUAAUCUUCUUUCAACCAACAGAAGCAAUUUAUAAUUUGACUUCAUCUGAAAUUUAUAGAAUUCUUUUUUCUCUUUAACAAAAGAGAAAUUUUAGUGAGGUGCGGUUUAUUAGCUCACUACUAUAGAAGCUUCUGGCAUGCUUCGACUUAUC